rnacentral:rRNA from 1 species
UACGUAGGGGGCAAGCGUUGUCCGGAUUCAUUGGGCGUAAAGCGCACGUAGGCGGUCCAGCAAGUCGGGUGUGAAAGCCCUCGGCUUAACCGAGGAAGUGCAUUCGAAACUACUGGACUUGAGUACUGAAGAGGAUCGCGGAAUUCCCGGUGUAGAGGUGAAAUUCGUAGAUAUCGGGAGGAACACCAGUGGCGAAGGCGGCGAUCUGGGCAGAUACUGACGCUGAGGUGCGAAAGCGUGGGGAGCAAACAGG